GACGAACGCUGGCGGCGUGCUUAACACAUGCAAGUCGAGCGGUAAGGCCCUUUCGGGGGUACACGAGCGGCGAACGGGUGAGUAACACGUGGGUGACCUGCCCUUAGCUCUGGGAUAAGCCUGGGAAACUGGGUCUAACACCGGAUAUGACUCCAUGACGCAUGUUGGUGGGGUGGAAAGCCUUGUGCGGCUAGGGAUGGGCCCGCGGCCUAUCAGCUUGUUGGUGGGGUGANGGCCUACCAAGGCGACGACGGGUAGCCGGCCUGAGAGGGCGACCGGCCACACUGGGACUGAGACACGGCCCAGACUCCUACGGGAGGCA
rnacentral:rRNA from 1 species